GAUGAACGCUGGCGGCGUGCCUAAUACAUGCAAGUCGAGCGAACGGACGAGAAGCUUGCUUUUCUGAUGUUAGCGGCGGACGGGUGAGUAACACGUGGAUAACCUACCUAUAAGACUGGGAUAACUUCGGGAAACCGGAGCUAAUACCGGAUAAUAUUUUGAACCGCAUGGUUCAAAAGUGAAAGACGGUCUUGCUGUCACUUAUAGAUGGAUCCGCGCUGCAUUAGCUAGUUGGUAAGGUAACGGCUUACCAAGGCAACGAUGCAUAGCCGACCUGAGAGGGUGAUCGGCCACACUGGAACUGAGACACGGUCCAGACUCCUACGGGAGGCAGCAGUAGGGAAUCUUCCGCAAUGGGCGAAAGCCUGACGGAGCAACGCCGCGUGAGUGAUGAAGGUCUUCGGAUCGUAAAACUCUGUAAUUAGGGAAGAACAUAUGUGUAAGUAACUGUGCACAUCUUGACGGUACCUAAUCAGAAAGCCACGGCUAACUACGUG
rnacentral:rRNA from 1 species